AGAGACGAAAAAAUAAAUAAAUAUAAAGCUGUGCUUUAUAAGAGUUCUCUCUGUCAGAGCGCUGUCGGGUGCCUCUUUCUCAGCUGUAGUGUGUCGCUGGAGAUGUCUACGGCCUGUUUCCCCCUCGGCCUGUGUGCUCUGUUAACCUGGGUUUUGUUGAUCUGUGAGUAUAUCAGACAUAGCUGAUAGCGGCUCCGCUCUGUCCGUCCCCCUCUCGGACGGGUCCGAACUGUCUCUCUUUUUAAGUCUUUCAAACCCUUUCCAGUGUCGAAUCUGUUAUGGAAUAGUCGGAAUGAAAAACGGGCAAAUACUCUGUUGAAAGGCUGCAAAACAAACUUUUAAAUUCACUGGUGCUCUCUCUUCAGUGGGUUCUCAAAGAUUCAAUGUGUUUUUCCAUACGGACUCGUGUGAGUAAGCCUACAGUGCUGGGCCGAACAGUACAGUACAGUACUGGUGUCAGCCGAACAGUACAGUACUGGUGACAGCCGACCAGUACAGUACAGGCGAGAGCCGACCUGGUUUGAGCCGAGUAGUCUGAAUGAAAAACGGACAGAUACUCAUUAGUACUGGUGGAGCACUGUGGUACAGUGUACAUUGAGGUCUUACCUCCAAAGGUUUUUAUUGGGAUCUUAAGACGCAGGGUGGUUCAACUUCUGUGGUCACGACAUGGCCUGGUGAUGUUGUGGAUUUAAACAACACAUUCUAACACUUUAACAAAAUAAGAGAGGUCGUUAAGGUUUGAAAGAUAAAGACUUUAGGCUAUUAUCACUUGCACGGAAGUAAUAGCAAAACCUGAGUUGGUUCGAUAAAGAUUUGUUGUCAGCAACUUGGUCCCCCACACAGAGCGUGCGCCCCACACAGAGCGUGCGUG
ensembl:lncRNA